UACGGAGGGGGCAAGCGUUGUUCGGAAUUACUGGGCGUAAAGGGCGCGCAGGCGGCUGCUCAAGUCAGGCGUGAAAGGCCUGGGCUCAACCCGGGAAUUGCGCUUGAGACUGGGCUGGCUUGAGUGCGGGAGAGGAUGGUGGAAUUCCCAGUGUAGAGGUGAAAUUCGUAGAUAUUGGGAAGAACACCAGUGGCGAAGGCGGCUAACUGGUCCAGUACUGACGCUGAGGUGCGAAAGCGUGGGGAGCAAACAGG
rnacentral:rRNA from 1 species